rnacentral:rRNA from 1 species
GACGAACGCUGGCGGCGUGCCUAAUACAUGCAAGUCGAACGGAAAGGCCCUGCUUUUGUUGGGCGCUCGUUAGGCGAACAGGUGAGUAACACGUGUGUAACAUGCCCCUGUCAUUGGGAUAAAUUCAGGAAACACGGGCUCUUACCGGAUAGGAUCUCUUGCUGCAUGUUGGUGGUUGGUGAGUUUCGGCGGUUGGGGAUGUACUCGCUGGAUAUCAGCUUCUUGAGGGAGUAGGGGAUUACAAAGGGUAUGAAGGGUAGCCGGCCUGAGAGCGUGACCGGCCACAUGGGGCCUACGAUACGGCCCAGACUCCUACGGGAGGCAGCAGGGGGGAAUAUUGCACAAUGGGGGGAAGCCUGAUGCAGCAACGCCGCGUGCGGGAUAACGGCCUUUGGGUUAUAAACAGAUUUCGCAUGUAACGAGGCGAGAGUGACGGUAAUGGGUAAAGAAGCACCGGCUAACUACGUG